CCGGAUACGUAUCAGACUGUUGACUUGAGUUACCUUGGCAGGGAGAUGCUGUGCAGGAAUGUGGAAAGGGGGAGGGGGAGUGAUCUGGAGAAAAAAAAGAAAAAAGACUGCAACAUCGGAAAGUCUGACUGCAUAAUGGCAGUUGUGAGAAGAGAAGAAAAAAUAAUGCAAUUUCGAGAAAGUCCUACAACUUUGAGUUAAUGCUGACAGUUUUGAUGUGAGGAGAUCUGCUUGGAUUUUUGGUCAGGGUAAGACUGCAAAUGGCCAUUUGCUGGUCCGCUGUCCUGGACACUGAGAAGAAGAGUUUCCCAUGCUUACAGAAACAGUGGGUAUCACCACCACGGGGAUAAGUGUGCAUUGCUCAAGUGUACCAUUGGAAGACAUGACUUCAGUGUACCCUUCUUCACAACUGCAUAUCCUUGUCUGCAGGAGAACAAGACUUAUACUGUACAUGCAAGGUGAUCUUUGUAAGCAUAACAGACCUGACUUGAAGAGCAGGCUUUAAAGGAAUAUUGUUCUGGGAAUUUACUUUAUGUAAUUUCUGUCAUAACUAUGUAAAAAAGAACACACUUUUUGUCCCUUUACAAACUUAUUCUAACAGUAGAAGCAAGUGCAUUCAGAAUUGUUUAUAGUGAUAAAAGGAGAGGUCCCCAAAUAGAAUUUUUAUGCCUCAAGACAUGCUUUUUUGGGGUGGGGGAAUGGAUUGUACCAGAGGCAGUGGGGUGACAAAUGA